rnacentral:lncRNA from 1 species
UGUGACAUGGCAAUGCCACAUGCAUCAAAUUCUAGUUAGAAUAUUCUUUUAAUAAUUUUUUACAUGUCAAUCUAAAAUCCACCCAUAAAAAGAGUACUUAUCCAAACCCAUAAAUAUCUAACCUGACUCAACUACUAUAAUAAUAAUAUUGAUAAGAUCCACCCACCCACAAUUUAACCAAAAUCCACCCUCUCUUCUUCAUCAGUGGGUUGAGAUUCAAUUCAACAGAGAAAAUCCAUCUACCAAAACGAUAGAAAUUGAAAAAACCAUGACAACACGCAAUAGAACAGAGAAGCACCGUCAGACGUGAUAGGAUCUUCUCCU